UGUGUAGCAAUACACAUGUACAGUGGCGAACGGGUGAGGACUACAUGGGUAACCUACCCUCGAGUGGGGAAUAACUAGCCGAAAGGUUAGCUAAUACCGCGUACGCUUCCAAGACUGCGGUUUUGGAAGGAAAGCGAUACCGUGGGUAUCGCGCUCUUGGAUGGGCUCAUGCCCUAUCAGUUUGUUGGUGAGGUAACGGCUCACCAAGGCUUCGACGGGUAGCUGAUCUGAGAGGAUGAUCAGCCACACUGGCACUGCGACACGGGCCAGACUCCUACGGGAGGCAGCAGUAAGGAAUAUUGCGCAAUGGGCGAAAGCCUGACGCAGCGACGCCGCGUGGGGGAUGAAGGUCUUCGGAUUGUAAACCCCUUUCGGGAGGGAAGAUGGGAUGGGGUAACCCAUUCGGACGGUACCUCCAGAAGCAGCCACGGCUAACUUCGUGCCAGCAGCCGCGGUAAUACGAAGGUGGCAAGCGUUGUUCGGAUUUACUGGGCGUACAGGGAGCGUAGGCGGUUGGAUAAGCCCUCCGUGAAAUCUCCAGGCUUAACCUGGAAAGUGCAGAGGGGACUGUUCAGCUAGAGGAUGGGAGAGGAGCGCGGAAUUCCCGGUGUAGCGGUGAAAUGCGUAGAGAUCGGGAGGAAGGCCGGUGGCGAAGGCGGCGCUCUGGAACAUUUCUGACGCUGAGGCUCGAAAGCGUGGGGAGCAAACAGGAUUAGAUACCCUGGUAGUCCACGCCUUAAACGAUGGAUACUAAGUGUCGGCGGGUUACCGCCGGUGCCGCAGCUAACGCAGUAAGUAU
rnacentral:rRNA from 1 species